CCAUCCUCUCGCGUCAAUCUUCUAGUCGCUCAACGGUUUUAUCAGGUUCCGGUUCACCGGACGCUCCUCCUUCUCAUCGCUCUCGCUCUCCUUCUCCACGAACGAAGCGAUUGAAGAGAAUUCAAUCUGAACGUGAAUCCAAACGCGAACACGACAGGAGCCAUAGCGGUAGCAGAGGGAGAGAUUCGGAGAGGGAAACAGUUGAGCGGAAUGAGAGGUCACCGGAGCAACACCAUAACAGGAGGAGCAGGCAUAGGUCUCAGUCGCCCCAUCGUCACUCGUCCGCCGCCGCCGCCGCAAACUCAAAGCCUCGUGAUGAGGUGUCUGGAAUGAAGAAGAUGAUUCCAUUAUGAAGAUGAAGGCUGCUGAAGAGGCUCUGGAAGAAAAACAGAAGGUAAAACUUUCAUUUGAGCUAUCAGGAAAACUUGCGGCUGAAACGAAUCGUGUCAGAGG